UUGAACGCUGGCGGCAUGCCUUACACAUGCAAGUCGAACGGUAACAGGUCUUCGGAUGCUGACGAGUGGCGAACGGGUGAGUAAUACAUCGGAACGUGCCUAGUAGUGGGGGAUAACUACUCGAAAGAGUAGCUAAUACCGCAUGAGAUCUACGGAUGAAAGCAGGGGACCUUCGGGCCUUGUGCUACUAGAGCGGCCGAUGGCAGAUUAGGUAGUUGGUGGGAUAAAAGCUUACCAAGCCGACGAUCUGUAGCUGGUCUGAGAGGACGACUAGGCACACUGGGACUGGGACACGGCCCAGACUCCUACGGGAGGCAGCAGUGGGGAAUUUUGGACAAAGGGCGAAAGCCUGAUCCAGCAAUGCCGCGUGCAGGAUGAAGGCCUUCGGGUUGUAAACUGCUUUUGUACGGAACGAAAAAGCUUCUUCUAAUACAGGGGGCCCAUGACGGUACCGUAAGAAUAAGCACCGGCUAACUACGUGCCAGCAGCCGCGGUAA
rnacentral:rRNA from 1 species